GUUGUGGAAUCACACGUUUUGUCAUUUAUUCUCUGUUUUUCUUUUUUUGGGAGGUCGUCUUCCAUUUUACCAAAAGAAGAAAGAGAUUAGGAGAAAAUGGGGAGACAGAAAACCCAGAUGAAGAGAAUAGAAAAUGCAGCAAGCAGGCAAGUAACCUUCUCAAAGAGAAGAAAUGGACUGCUUAAAAAGGCCUAUGAGUUAUCCGUUCUCUGCGAUGCCGAAGUUGCACUCAUCAUCUUCUCUCCCAGAGGGAAGUUAUAUGAGUUUUCUAGCUCCGGUAUGAACAAAACCAUAGAUCGAUAUCAAAAGAGAGAGAAGGAUGCUUAUGGAAUCAGCAGCAAAGCAGUAGACGAAAAUAUGCAGAAUGUAAAGGAAGACGCUCAAAGCAUGGCAAGGAAGAUUGAAUUCCUGGAAGAUUCUAAAAGAAAAAUGCUGGGACAUGGACUAGAACCAUGUUCUGCUGAUGAUCUGCAACAGUUAGAAAACCAGUUGGAACGAAGCUUAUGCAGAAUUAGGGCAAGAAAGAAUCAGGUAUUCUUGGAGCAGAUUGAGAAGUUAAAGGAAGAGGAGAGACGCCUUGGGGAAGAAAAUGCUAAUCUGCGUGAACAGGUAUUUGAUCUCUAAUCGUCCUCUAUGAUAAUAUGAUUUUGUUUGAACCACUUAUCAUAUAUAUAUAUAUCCAGUUACAUUAACGACAUUAUGGAACAUAUUAUUACAUUCUAAUGAAUAGUGUGGGCUGCGACCACGAGAAUCAUCGUCAACAAGCCUGUCAGAUGAGCUCCAAACUCA